GGGGAAUUUUGGACAAUGAGCGAAAGCUUGACCCAGCGACACUGCGUGGGCGAUGAAGAUCUUUGGAUUGUAAAGCCCUUUUAUAGAAGAGUAAGGAGACGGUUAGGAAAUGAGCUGUCUCUUGCAAGUAUUUUAUGAAUAAGCCCCAGCCAACUACGUGCCAGCAGCUGCGGUAAUACGUAGGGGGCAAGCGUUGUCCGGAAUUACUGGGUGAAAGGGUGUGCAGGCGUCCUGUUAAGUUGGUUGUGAAAACCCGGAGCUCAACUCCGGAACUGCAGCCAAUACUGAUAGGAUCGAGGGUAUGAGAAGGAAGCGGAAUUCUCGGUGUAGCGGUGAAAUGCGUAGAUAUCGAGAGGAACACCUGCGGCGAAAGCGGCUUCCUAACAUACUUCUGACGCUCAUACACGAAAGCUAGGGGAGCAAAC
rnacentral:rRNA from 1 species